AUUGAACGCUGGCGGCAGGCCUAACACAUGCAAGUCGAACGAGUGGCGGACGGGUGAGUAAUGUCUGGGAAACUGCCCGAUGGAGGGGGAUAACUACUGGAAACGGUAGCUAAUACCGCAUACCAUCGGAUGUGCCCAGGUGGGAUUAGCUGUUAGGUGGGGUAACGGUGCACCUAGGCGAGGAUACCUUGCUGGUCUGAGAGGAUGAACAGCCACACUGGAACUGAGACACGGUCCGUACUCCUACGGUAGGCAGCAGUGGGGAAUAUUGCACAAUGGGCGCAAGCUGUAUGCAGCCAUGCCGCGUGGAUGAAGAAGGCUUUCGGGUUGUAAAGUACUUUCAGCGAGGAGGCGUUACUCGCAGAAGAAGCACCGGCUAACUCCGUGCCAGCAGCCGCGGUAAUUC
rnacentral:rRNA from 1 species